UUCAAACACCAGUUCCCAUACAAUCACUGAAGUUAAGCAAUGCAAGUCUGGUUAGUACCUAAAUGGAUGACUGCUUGGGUAUACCAGGUGCUGUAA